rnacentral:lncRNA from 1 species
GCUGCAAAUUUUGAUGUGAUGGAGGAUCUAGAAAUUUUUUGGAACUAAAUAAGACCUAAUAAUUAAGACUUAUUUUCUUUUCUUUUUUUCCCUCUCUACCCUAUCCAGAGUACGGCAUGCGGCCUUAUCUAUUCUUCCUCGCACGGAGCCUUAUCUCUUCUUCAUUCAUCCACCGCAUGCACAGAGCCUUAUCUGUUCUUCCACUACACGCACGCAAAUCUCUCAGGCAGCUGUGCGGCUGCCGCCGACUGUGUGCCGGCGCUCGCCCGUCCCGGUGCCCCGGUGGCCUUGACCCUCGUGCCCUCGCGACCUGCCUACCGCGUGUGUGCGCCUCUCCAUCGCGUUCGUGCUCGCCAAUGGUCUGGACUCCACCUCGCAUGGGACAGCAGGUGCCGCGACGCACAACCACAGCGCUCUCACGGUGCGGCUAGGGCGGUGAUGGUAGGGUGGCCGUGGCAAAGCAAUUUGUGGCGAAGGCGGAGAAAAAGUUCGCCACAGGUUUGAGGCAAAAUUUUGUGGCGACUCUUUCUUCUAGCUGUGGCGAGCCUCACCUGAACAAGGAACCAAACACCAGCCACGACAUCUUUGGCGAUCCUAACAUUAGGUGUGGCGAUGUGUGGCGGCCAACCAAACAUGCCCCGCGUUGUACCCUUGAGAUUUAAUUCGGGUCCACCUAUUUCUGGUUCGGUUCCACAACUUAAGUUCCUUUGGUUCGGGUUCACAACUUAAGUUUCUUUCACUUGGUUUUUUCUGUUUUUAAACCAUCAGAUUUAACGAAAUGGAGGGCUCAUAUUAUUUCCAAGCACCGUAAAAUUUCACUAAAACUAAGGCCUUGUUUAC